GGAUGGGUGGCCGAGCGGUUGAAGGCACCGGUCUUGAAAACCGGCAGACCUGCAAGGGUCUCGUGGGUUCGAAUCCCACCCCAUCCACCA
rnacentral:tRNA from 1 species